AUGCCUCUUUGUUUACAACUUCCAGCACAAACGUAUAUCAUGUUUGUUUUCAGAUGAAACAUCAGCUUUCCUGACUUCUGGAAUUAACCUCUAAUUCAUAUUAACAGCAGCCUUUUAUGCAGUCUUUGCAUACAUGGGCUUUCAGCAACGUGACCGUGCAGAGCUGUGAUCUGACACAGCCAAGAGGUGAGCUCCUUGGCGUUAGGCAUGUGGUGCUAAUGAGUGUCACAAGCUGCUGCCUGGCACUUGGCAAGCAUCUGCUGCUCAGGUAGCAAGUCUGUUGUCGUUGUUGGCAUGUGAGAGCCUGAAUUCCCAAGGGUGCAGCAGAGCUCCUUCCAAGAGUGUUGAAGGCGCAGGUCCCAGCCAACUUAAUUUAGGUAUUAAG
rnacentral:lncRNA from 1 species